GAAAACAAGUAGGCUCAUUAAUUACUCGCAUGAGUUAUCAAUUCACACCACAUCAAACAAAAAGCUCACAUUUCAUGGACAAGAUGAAGUGCAAUUCAGAACAAACUGCAGCGAUGAUCCAUGCAAACGCCUGAGUUUUGAGGCUUAAUUUAUACAAAUAACAGAUAACCCGACUCUCCCCAUUGGUUCUCAGGACAGCUAAAGCAUCAUUUAGGGUUUCUGCCUGGGAGUAGCAAGGAACGGUUAUAGAGAGAAGAGGUUUUAGGCACUGUAUUAGAUACACACUCUGCAAUGACCUUCCCAUAUUUUCAGCCUGUUCCUGAACGGCAAUUUGUCCCUGGCUCCACGUCUUGGAAAUCUUAAAGCUCUUGAGCUGGCUGAGGCCUUAGACUAAUAGAGUUCAAACCUCUCAUUACCCUUAAAAAACUGCAAUACAGUCAGAGGGUCAGUUAACGGGAGCACUAGAUGUAAAAACUCAAAAGAAACGUAUGUUAAUUGAGCAUCUCUUGGUGCCAGGCCCUGUGUUCUCUGCUCUAAAUACAUGAUCUCACGCAGUUCUCAUGAUUGCCUCAUGAGGGAUACACAGGCACAGAGAUGGAGGCUGAGUUCUUGGGUUCAUUGACUACUUAUCUGAGUAUCUGCUACAUGUCAGGCACCAAGGUAGGUGCUGAGUAUACAAAGGAGAAAUAGACACACUUCGCUUCCUGCCCAUAGGAAGGUCACAUUCUGGCAGGGAUGGGGGAGGGGAGUCAGGCAACUUAAUUAGCACUGUGAUGUUCAAACAGCAGCUCAUUAGAAGCUCAUGAAAUAAUUUAGUGGAUCUUGAUCAGCAUGAAAAAUAAAUGAAUGAACAAAUAAAUAAAGUAGAAGAGAAUAACACAGAAUGGAAAAUAGUGUGCAUGCAAUAUCACAUGGCUAUAUGUCUAUAUAUCUAUAUCAAUCAUAUAUACGUCUGUGUGUACUGGUUUGCAAUGUACAAUAUAUUUUCUCUUGUAGGUCAUGGUGAAAAAAAGUGUGAAAGCUCUCAAGUUACAGAACAAAGUGACAAGUGCUUUAUUAGAAGUUCAUGCAAAAUGGUGAGAGCAAAAAGGAGUGAGUGUCUGCCUGUGGAUUAGUUAGCACCUAGCUCCAGAGUGAGCUGGGUACCAUUCUGGCUUCUCACCAAGAAGUCUCUGAAGGAUGGGAUGCCCAAAUCUAAUGCUUGGAGCUAAGAAGAGCUUGAAAAGGACUGGUAUGAAGUUUCAGGGACUAAGGAAGAAAACAGAGUGGAAGUCCCUUCUCCUGUAGCCUGGGAAAGAGGAUGGGCACCUAUGAAGGCAUAAGAAAGCACAAUGACACUAGUUCUGUGUUUGCACGAUGAAGCCAGGCUCUGGAAGAGGGGAUUAAACCUCAAGAAGAUGGAACCCAAAUCCAACCUUAAUCGCUAGAACUAUGGGAGCUGCUGGAACGUCUACCAGUAUCAGCUGGGUCUGGAACAAAUUCCCAUCACCCCACUGUUGAUAGAAUGCAGAGAGCCUGUGGAAUCUGGAAGGCAGGAGACAAGACGCCACAUGUGAGGUCCUUUAAAUGAUCUUAAUCUCCAGAGCAGUACCUCCUUUGGGAUGAUAGGUCAUUGCAAUCUCCCUUAUCAACAUAUGAUAGUUACUAAAUUUUCUAUUCUUUUAAUAAAACUUCCUUCAGGCAUAUUCUGGAUACCAGGUUUACAGGUUGAGGAUUUGUGGCAAUCCACUAAACUGCCAUGUGCAGAUAUCUUCUCGGGUUUCUGAGCAUGGAUUCAAGGCAAGAGAAAAAAGAUCUUCCCACAGAGUAACACAAGUCAUUCAUGUUGUAAGCUUCUCUGAUGUGGGGUUUCAGUGACCACGGAAUAAGGAGUAGCUCAGGGGGCAGUGAAAUUCAUCGUUAUCUUGGGGAGUUGGUUAUUGUGUAUUUACCUUUUAUCAAGCAACAUGAGAUGAUGUCAAGAUUAAUUAUUGUAUUCGUUAUUUAGUCCAUAUUUUUUCCUUGUACAGACUUAUGAUGAUAAUGACAAGAACUGGGUGCUAUAUAAAAUGAACAGCCCUAGAAAUGUAUAGAAAAAUAAUGACUAGAUUUUAUGUUUUAAGUUUCUUUACCCAUCAAAUAACAAAUUACAAGGUCUUUAAUAAGUUCCUCUUCACUACAGCUGAUGGCUCAGGAGAGAACAGUAGUAUGUGUUGAAAGCAGGAGAAAUAAUUAGGGUACGAUUCUUUUUUGUUCUAUUAAGAAACAAAUGAAAUAGUUCACGUGAAAGUGCUUCAUGUACUAAAAGGUAUAUUGCAAAUAUUAAACAUUUCAGUUAUUAUUACCAAUGCUAAUAAAUUAUUAUCAAGUAAAAAAUUAAAAGUAUUAGUGCCCACAAGUAAGUGAAAUUGUAUUUGAUGUUUCCUGGAUAUGUAGUUUUCCGCACAUCUUUAUUUUUAAACACAAGGACUCAGGUUUAACUAACAUCUUCAAGGAUUAACAUCAAUAAGGCGGAGAGUUUAAUAAAUAAUUGUUCUUCAAAACAGAAGUGCAGAUGGCCCUUGAUGAGUAAAUUUGUUCUAUUAUCUUCGUUGUAUAGAUGAAGCAGCAGGAGCGAGGACACUAAAUGAUUUGGCCAGUGUCACACAGCAGCAGAACCAGAACACAGAAUCAGACCACUGUGACUUUAACUUCUAGCCUUGCUCAUGAUUUUGGUUAUUGGUUUGCUUUUCCUUAUAGAGCCAUAAGCUAUUUUCUAGUCUUUGUCCAGAAUGUAGAUGAUUAUAUGUAACAUAAUGAUUAUUAUAUAUUAUCGUCACACACCUCACACUACCAGCAGCCUUAGUGAACGAAAGGACCUUUCUGAUCAUCAGCAAGACAAGUUCACCCUGUCUAUUGCUAGUCUAGAUUUAAAGGAAGUUUUUUGCCUUCUUAGCCUUUUAAAUUAUAACUGUUUUUAGGUUUUACCAUGUGUCAAUUAAAAUCAGGCGGUACCACUUUGUUUUCAGAAAAAAAAGUCUCAAAAGAACAAGUAAUACAAGGAAAGGUAAUAAAGCGAAUGUGUUGUUGGUGGCAUUUAACUUACUUUAAGUUCUACUUAAAGCUUCUUCAACAGAUAAAUCAUAAGAGGGCAGAGGAAGUAUCUACAGUUUAAAAAAGUAUUGAAAGAGAGACUCAAUAUUUUUAGAUGGGCAAGAUUAAACUUUCAAAUCUGGAGAUGCACAUAUGGGUAAUAACGCGAUUAAAAGGUAAACGCGAGAAGCUGAUUCCCACAGAAGUUCAGACGUGGUUGUUCCCGGUGGAGCAGAGGGUCUGUGACCGGGGUGGGCUAGAGAGAAGGGGCUUCUGGGGGUAGCAGUAAAGUUCUAUUUCUUGCCUUGGGUGGUGCUCCCCUUACAGUAAUUCAUUAAGCCAUGCCCUUGAUUUGUGUGGCUUUCUGUAUUUGUGGACUUUUUUUUUUCUUUCAAACUAAAGGGAUAUACAUAAAGAAAUCAUUUUUUUGAAAUAGAGAACUAACAAUACGAUGACGAGUUGUUAUUUCCAGGUGUAGUAGGACAAAAAGAGUGGAAAUGAAAGGCGAUGGUCCCUUCAUUUGUCAUACAAAAGGCUGGAUUUUGAGAGCCUAGGGCACAGAGCACGCUGCGUCAAUCACUGAGUGGUCUUCGGUAGUAUCUGGCCCCUUCCGUCUAAGAAUGUGUUCAAAUUGGUUUUGAUGGCAAAUAAGUCUAAUCUAUUGUCCCAGCAGAUGGAGGUUUUAUUAGCUUCGGAACUGCAUUUGAAAAUGUAUCAUAUCCAAAAUGCACAAGUUCUCCAGCUUUAUUUCUUGCUUCUAGGUUUUAAGUUCAGAGCAUCCCAAAAUUUCCUCCUCCAACUGGAACAGUCAAGAUAAACCCCAGAGGGUUGUUUAACACAGGAGCACAAAGAGUGGAGGGAAAGUCACAGCGACGUGGACUGGAAGGAUUUCCAAUCACAAUAAACACACCCAAAGAGAGAGGAAGAUGGCACGGAAGACGGAAGAUGUGGAGUCCGAGCCCCUCGGCAUGGCGUUUCUGCCCCCUCACGCUCAGACCAGCAAUUCCUACCACAUCCAUACGUGGACUCUACCUCUCCUCGUGAGUUACUUACUGUUCCCUGCUAGGCGUUUUCCUGUCUCCCUGCUUUUGCUCUGGGUUCCUUACCUUGGAAUCCCAUUCCACCCCUACCCACAGUCAAAGCUUAAAUGCCAACUCUUCCAUGAAUCCAUCUCCAUCCCUCUCCUUGCCUUCAAAACAAGUACUCUUCUCUCUGCAGCACAGCACUUUCUCCCUCUAUUAAACCAUUGGUGUCAUCUUGCCUUGUAGGAGGUUUAUGUUGGUCCUCCCAACCAUCUCCAGGACAAGAUUUCUGUGCCUUAUUCAGCUUUUUAUUCUCUUACAUGGCAAGUAGAACUCUUUGCUUAGUAGGCAACUAAUAAAUGUUUCUAGAAUAAACAAGAUCCAGAGAGCAUGCGGUACCAGUUUCUGCAGGGCGAGCACCAAUGAGUCAAGCUUAAAGAAAUGGGCAGAAUGAUCUUGGCAAGACAUUCAAAGUUCAAUGAAAUGGUUACUUAACCAAAUCAACUUUAAGUCUUGUCUUUUUUCUAGAAACAGUCAAAACAAUCAGUCCAUUUGGUCUACGAUUGAACAGUAUUUUCUCUGGGGUUAGAGUCCAGAUUAUAAAUUGAAAGCUGAACUGGCAUUCUGCGGCUCCCGGCAUUUAUGUGAGCCACACAGACCCUGAGGUACCUAGUGACAUGAAUACAUUUGGGACUAAACAUUAAGCACUCUCUGACUAACCCAAUAUUCCCAUGAUCUCGGUACUAACUGCCUGACAGCAAGAACAGCUGCAAAGGAUUGAAUGCUCGCUGUAUCCAGGUCCCGGGCUACAUGAUUUGCAGACCGCAUAUCGCUUGUGCCUCACAAGUAACUAUGUAGAGGAUGCGUUCCUUCCAUGACCUGCCUCACAGGGUGGUUGAGUGGCAAAGGAGACCACUAACAUGGGAUACAGAGAGCUCUGUAAAAUGGAGCGCACUACACAUUGGUGUCCAGGAUGAUGAUGGUGACAAAUUCGCUAUGACCAGGGACAUAUGCUGUUCCCUGAGGAAGUGUCCUUGUCCGGGUGAUUGAGACUGAACAAAUCUCUAGGUCACACAUUUCCCUGACUUGGACUCCCAAAUUGUGGGCUAUUAGGAUUAUCUUAAGUCACUAGAAGAAAACAAUGAAUAAUGGUAGAUUGUGUUUGAAUAUAAGAAAAGGUAAAUGGGGGAAAAGAUGCUUUGAUUACUGUUAUAAGGUUCAAGCACGGGAAAAGAGGGAUAACACUGGGCAUUUUUGAGUCACCACCAAUGGAGGUAGGCGCCAGGUGGGACGCAAUGGAGACCCGCUGGCCGUGGCCUCUGACAUGUGGCUCUUACAGUCCGUCAGGUGCUAGAGAAAAACUGUGAAGCGCUGGCCACACAGAUAGCCCUGAAUUUAGUCUGAGCUGUGCACUACAGGAAAGCAACCUAGCGCUACGAGGUGAUGUGACAGGAGGAGCUGACCUGGAAAGAGGGGUCAAGCAAGGCUCCUGAGGGGAAAGUUGUAUUUGAGUAGAGACCAGAAGAAUGAGGAGAAGUUGGCCAGACAAAGGCAGGGAGAGGAGAGAGACAUUACAGAAAAGCGUGAGACCUGAAAAAAUGUACUGUCCCCAAAACAUGAACGGAAAACUGCAAAGUUGACAUUACUGUUGAAUAAAAUGCAAGUAAAACAAAACACAUGGUCAACGGUAUUGUUAGGAUUUAGCAGUCAUAAAUAUUUCAGUGUAUUUGAAAAAAAAGUGCCAGUUUAGAUGCUCUCAGUUCGUAAGACUCCUCAAGCAUGUGGAAGAUGGCUGAGAAAUCACAGGCACUCAAAUGAAAGGAGUCAGUCAUAGGCAAAUAAUUUCAAAAGCCGAAACACUAAAACUUUAAAAAUAUUUUUGCACUCAAAUAUAUUUAAUGUGGCAGGUUGGUUCAUUUUAAUAUGAUUGAUAUGAUAUGAGCUGGGAACCUUCAAAAUAAAAAUAUGGGCUUCCCGUGUUCUGCUUUGGCGGCUCAGGUUUGA